rnacentral:rRNA from 1 species
UACGUAGGGUGCAAGCGUUGUCCGGAAUUAUUGGGCGUAAAGAGCUCGUAGGCGGUUCGUCGCGUCGGCUGUGAAAACCCGGAGCUCAACUCCGGGCCUGCAGUCGAUACGGGCGGACUAGAGUUCGGCAGGGGAGACUGGAAUUCCUGGUGUAGCGGUGAAAUGCGCAGAUAUCAGGAGGAACACCGGUGGCGAAGGCGGGUCUCUGGGCCACUACUGACGCUGAGAAGCGAAAGCAUGGGGAGCGAACAGG